CAGAGGUCUUUCAGACCUUUUCCUGGAGUGAGACUCUGGCGUGGGCAGAGGAGAAGGCACCUUUGAUGACCACCUGUUAGAGGGCAACCCUUCCCCAGGCCAGAAACCUCAAAGUAGACCUCAUCAAAGAGACGACUUUCAACGUAAGAAGCAGGACCUCCUUGACAGAGGGACAUGGAUGGUGCUGUCAAUGGCCUUGUUCACCAGCAGGCAAAAUAAAAUGAAGUUUGUACCAACAUGCCUGGAGAUGGAGCUGUGGAGGGGAGGAUGCUGGGAGAAGAUAUUCUUCACUCUGAACUCCAUGGCCAUCUGCCUAUGUUCUGAUGCCACUAGAGGACAUGUUAACAGGUUGAGGGUCGGCAAUGAUACCCAGAUCAUGAAGUGGAAGAAACAGGCUGAGACUAAGAUAUUUAAGAGGAGACUGGCCUAUUCACAGGAGGAAACUGUGAUGUACGGAACGUUCUCAAUGACCUGGGACAAUGUCCAAGCAUA